AAUAGAUACCCGGGUAGUCCAUGCCGUAAACGUUGGGAACUAGAUGUGGGGACCAUUCCACGGUCUCCGUGUCGCAGCUAACGCAUUAAGUUCCCCGCCUGGGGAGUACGGCCGCAAGGCUAAAACUCAAAGGAAUUGACGGGGGCCCGCACAAGCGGCGGAGCAUGCGGAUUAAUUCGAUGCAACGCGAAGAACCUUACCAAGGCUUGACACAUACCGGAAAGGUCUGGAAACAGUCCCCCGCAAGGUCGGUAUACAGGUGGUGCAUGGUUGUCGUCAGCUCGUGUCGUGAGAUGUUGGGUUAAGUCCCGCAACGAGCGCAACCCUCGUCUUAUGUUGCCAGCGGUUCGGCCGGGGACUCAUAAGGGACUGCCGGGGUCAACUCGGAGGAAGGUGGGGAUGAGGUCAAAUCAUCAUGCCCCUUAUGUCCUGGGCUUCACGCAUGCUACAAUGGCCGGUACAAAGGGCUGCAAUACCGCGAGGUGGAGCGAAUCCCAAAAGCCGGUCUCAGUUCGGAUUGAGGUCUGCAACUCGACCCAUGAAGUCGG
rnacentral:rRNA from 1 species